UACAGAGAGUGCAAACGUUGUUCGGAAUCACUGGGCUUAAAGCGCACGUAGGCGGCAUCGUAAGUGUCGGGUGAAAUCCCACGGCUCACCCGUGGAACUGCCCGGCAGACUGCGAUGCUCGAGUGUGGUAGGGGAGAACGGAACUCCUGGUGGAGCGGUGAAAUGCGUAGAUAUCAGGAGGAACACCGGUGGCGAAGGCGGUUCUCUGGUCCACAACUGACGCUGAGGUGCGAAAGCUAGGGGAGCAAACGGGAUUAGAUACCCCGGUAGUCCUAGCUGUAAACGAUGGGCACUAGCUUGUGGUCCCCCUGUGGGAUCACAGGUGAAGUAAAAAUGAUAAGUGCCCCGCCUGGGGAGUAUGGUCGCAAGGCUGAA
rnacentral:rRNA from 1 species